GUGGUGUCUAUCACGGAGAUUUAAAGCUCAACAACAUCCUGGUCAACACAGACACGAUGGAGCUGAAACUGAUAGACUUUGGCCUCAGCAAACUUGUGAAAGAUUGUGGGAGACAAGGCGCACCAUACAGUGGGCUAUGUUUUGCUGUUGGACAGACUGUGCAUGCUUUGGCUAUGUUAUUGUUCAACAUGUUGCAUGGACAUGUGUAUACAUGCAGAACCACUGUCAGCACUGCUGUGAUAUCCAAAGAGUGUCAAGACUUGAUGGAUUGGUGCCUGGACUCCCAUGAAGAAAAUAGGCCAACAUUGCAAGAACUCUUACAACAUAAAUGGUUCAAUGAGGAAUAAAG